AUGUCCAGAUAGCCAUGCAUGUCUAAGUAUAAAUGCUAUACAGUGAAACUGCGAAUGGCUCAUUAAAACAGUUAUAGUUUAUUUGGUAAUCGACAAUUACAUGGAUAACCGUGGUAAUUCUAGAGCUAAUACAUGCUGUGGUGCCCGACUUCACGGAAGGGCCGUAUUUAUUAGAUAACAGCCAAUAAGACUCGCGUCUAUUGUGGUGACUCAUAGUAACUGAUCGGAUCGCAUGGGCCUGUCCCGCGACAAACCAUUCAAGUUUCUGCCCCAUCAGCUUUCGAUGGUAGUGUAUUGGACUACCAUGGCUUUUACGGGUAACGGAGGAUUAGGGUUCGAUUCCGGAGAGGGAGCCUGAGAAACGGCUACCACAUCCAAGGAAGGCAGCAGGCGCGUAAAUUACCCAAUCCUGACUCAGGGAGGUAGUGACAAGAAAUAACGGGCCGGGGUACGACCUCGGGACUGCAAUGAGACGAAUUUACACCCCUUAUCGAUCACCA
rnacentral:rRNA from 1 species